GACUUCAUCUACAGCACACGUAACACUUAACUAUAAUUGUAAGACUUUUGUAUUUGGUAUUUUUGAUGUUAGAAACUGUAUUGUACAAAAUAAGAUAUUGCUCUGUAUUAAAUAUUAUAUUUAUUCAAGUCGAUGUUUGAAAAAAGUUCUAUCACUUCAGGCACUCAAGCAUAAGUUAAAUGACCUGUACUGUACUGAAAAAAAUGUAGCUAUUUACAAACAAAACCAAGAACAGUUUGAGAAAGAAUGGAAUAGCUGGCACUUUCUGUGUUUAUACUGAGAACAAUCACACAAAUACAUGAGACUUUUAUUUUUAAAUUUGCUAAUGAAAACCUAUAAAUCUGGCUCUUUACUUUCCACCUUUCUUGAAUCAGAAACCAUAUAAGGGCAGUAAUAUAUAGAGCAAACCACAGAUGACCAAUUCUUCUUUUUUUUUUCUUUUUUUUUCUAAAAAUUUCAAACUUGUAUUUGUUCUUUUGUUAGAUAUUUUUUUGUUACUUUUUUGACAAACUUUUGAUUUUUUUUCUUUUAUUUUUC
rnacentral:lncRNA from 1 species